GAUGAACGCUAGCGGGAGGCCUAACACAUGCAAGCCGAGCGGUAGAGUUUCUUCGGAAACUUGAGAGCGGCGCACGGGUGCGUAACACGUGUGCAACCUACCUUUAUCUGGGGGAUAGCCUUUCGAAAGGAAGAUUAAUACCCCAUAAUAUAAUGAUUGGCAUCAAUUAUUAUUGAAAACUCCGGUGGAUAGAGAUGGGCACGCGCAAGAUUAGAUAGUUGGUGAGGUAACGGCUCACCAAGUCAAUGAUCUUUAGGGGUCCUGAGAGGGAGAUCCCCCACACUGGUACUGAGACACGGACCAGACUCCUACGGGAGGCAGCAGUGAGGAAUAUUGGACAAUGGGUGAGAGCCUGAUCCAGCCAUCCCGCGUGAAGGAGGACGGUCCUAUGGAUUGUAAACUUCUUUUGUACAGGGAGAAACCUACCCUCGGGAGGGUAGCUGAAGGUACUGGACGAAUAAGCACCGGCUAACUCCGUG
rnacentral:rRNA from 1 species